rnacentral:rRNA from 1 species
AUUGAACGCUGGCGGCAGGCCUAACACAUGCAAGUCGAAUGGUAGCAGGAAACAGCUUGCUGUUUCGCUGACGAGUGGCGGACGGGUGAGUAACGUCUGGGAAACUGCCUGAUGGAGGGGGAUAACUACUGGAAACGGUAGCUAAUACCGCAUAACGUCGCAAGACCAAAGAGGGGGACCUUCGGGCCUCUUGCCAUCAGAUGUGCCCAGAUGGGAUUAGCUAGUAGGUGGGGUAACGGCUCACCUAGGCGACGAUCCCUAGUUGGUCUGAGAGGAUGACCAGCCACACUGGAACUGAGACACGGUCCAGACUCCUACGGGAGGCAGCAGUGGGGAAUAUUGCACAAUGGGCGCAAGCCUGAUGCAGCCAUGCCGCGUGUAUGAAGAAGGCCUUCGGGUUGUAAAGUACUUUCAGCGGGGAGGAAGGGAGUAAAGUUAAUACCUUUGCUCAUUGACGUUACCCGCAGAAGAAGCACCGGCUAACUCCGUG